CGUCAUUUUGUCAGAAUCGCGAAAGUAACUCAUCCAAAAGAUGUCAAAUGGAUUCUUAUUAAAACAUCUUAAAUUGAAAUAUAAAGAACUACGUAGGGUCUUCGAUAUGUUUAUUUAGAAAAAAAAAUCGAUUCCAAGAGGACACUCGGUCAUCUUGGGGCCGCUCCGUAUACGGUGGAGGACGGUGCUCCGGUAGACGGGCUACGCGAGAUGCACAGGACGAUUAGAACGAAUGGUCGUUAUAAAUCAGUUCCCUCGUUGGACCCAACUUGCGAGGAGACGCGGAAUACGAAAAAGAGAGAGAGAGAGAAGCUCCUUGGGGGAACUGAGAUUUCGUCGUACACCUUUCUCUCCUCCUCCUCCUCCUGCGCUCAGUUCAGUCCGUUUUCUCGGCGCAUUCUAAUCUACUCGCUCUCCGCGGGCACCCAAAUAAUCCUGAUCCACUGACAUCUCGCCUGUAGCGGCAAUGUCCCGACCGGAAUAAAUGGCCGAGGCGGGAUGCAAGAUCACGGUGACAUCACGAGGAGGACAUGGUCCUGGGAGGACGUAAUUAUCCGUGAAGCUCUUAUAUCGAGAUUUCCUGCACUAUACCCGAGAAGUUCUAGUUAGACGUUAAUGUGCAAUGCCCGCUGCAUACAAUCGUCUUUUCAAUAUUACUUUGAUAGAAAUUAUUUGUCCAUUUUUUCCUUUUAACUCUAUUUUAUUUCUAUUAUAAUAUAAAAUAUUUUUUUCUAUUAACAUAUAAAAUGUCAUUUUCCUACAGCGUGUAAACUAAUUAAUUAGAGUAUUCCCGUGUUUUAUUUCGACAUAAUUGUAAUUUUGUUUAAUUCGUUCUAUUGUCUAUUAUAUAAAUUGUAAGAAAAAAAAUAAAUACUCAA